UAGGGAGGGCUCCCGGCAUCUCCCUGCGUCGGGGCAGAGGAUGCCGAGGGUAGAGUACCGGAGGGCUGGAGCGAGGGUGGACUGGAGGUGCCGCUUGUCCUGGAGGUGGGAGAGAGGGAGCGGCUUUGCCGCCUGGCCUGCGUCCUAAUCCUGCCCUGGUUCUUCUGCUCCCGAAGGGAACGCAGGUCCCGCGCCUGUGACAAGUAAGGUUGGAUUUUCUCUCCCCUGAGGUGAAGGAUGCCCGGAGGCCUCGGCAGGACCGCGCGGAAACGGGCCUUCUGCCCAAAAGAUGCUGCUUCUCUCCUUAUUCUUUCCCCUCAGAAUCUCGCUGUCUCCUUCCAACCACCUGUGGUCGGCAUCCCCGCGUUGUCACUGCGACGCAGAGGUCGCAGCUUCAUGGCCUGAUGCCGUCAGGAAGUAUUUUGAAGUCAUCGUGGCUGUGGAUUGGGGGAUUUCUUGUUUCCACUGACCUGUGAGGCCGCGCACGUGGAGGGAGGCACCCCGGGUCCUCCGGCACUGUCCGGCCUCGCCUGUGUCCCUAGUAGCAGUGGGCAUUUCCAGACGGUGCAGCUUGUGGCUAAAGUGACAGGAAGAUGUAGGAGCUUUCAGUCUUGGAUGAGGAUUCGAACUGAAAGGGUUAGGCCCAGCUGUCUUGGAGCAAAACAUCUGUUGUGGGAUGUGGCGGCAGAGGAGGGCAAGGCCGAAGGAGCAGACAGCACCGCUUCUUGGGGAGUUGUGAAGGCAUCAUGCGGAGGGCCGAGCUUAGCAGCCAAGUGGAGGACAGCAACCUCCAUGCCUGGAUUCGUUACUCGCUCGUUCUAGAUGUUGAGCUGCUGGCAUAUUGCAGCACAACUAGAGAUGUACGGAUGCCCCCAUCUUGAUCUUACAGAAUCAGAGGUGCAGCCGCAAGAAAGGUCUCUACACCCUCUCGGUUUUCUCUGCUCUGCCAACACUAGUGGAAU
rnacentral:lncRNA from 1 species